rnacentral:rRNA from 1 species
UACGAAGGGGGCUAGCGUUGCUCGGAAUCACUGGGCGUAAAGCGCACGUAGGCGGAUUGCUAAGUCAGGGGUGAAAUCCUGGAGCUCAACUCCAGAACUGCCUUUGAUACUGGGAGUCUUGAGUUCGGGAGAGGUGAGUGGAACUGCGAGUGUAGAGGUGAAAUUCGUAGAUAUUCGCAAGAACACCAGUGGCGAAGGCGGCUCACUGGCCCGAUACUGACGCUGAGGCACGAAAGCGUGGGGAUCAAACAGG